rnacentral:rRNA from 1 species
UACGUAGGGGGCAAGCGUUGUCCGGAUUUAUUGGGCGUAAAGAGCGUGUAGGCGGCUUUACAGGUCCGUUGUGAAAACUCGAGGCUCAACCUCGAGACGCCGGUGGAAACCGUAAAGCUAGAGUCCGGAAGAGGAGAGUGGAAUUCCUGGUGUAGCGGUGAAAUGCGCAGAUAUCAGGAGGAACACCCGUGGCGAAAGCGGCUCUCUGGGACGGUACUGACGCUGAGACGCGAAAGCGUGGGGAGCAAACAGA